CCGUCAAGGACGCCUGCGUCGGUAAAGUAGACUUAGUCGCAACCUGAAGCGGAUGGUUGCUCCAGUGCGCCGUCGACCGUCGAAGGUUGCUGGUCGCCGCUGCCGCUCUUGUCCCGCUGUCGAUCCGCCGGUGUGACACGGAAGAGUGCGAUAGUGCUUCGCGAGAAUCAUCAUCCUGCUGAUCGGUCGACUGAUCGGCGAGGUGUUAUCUCUUGUGAGAGGGAGGAGAGGCUGGUCGCGAUCCGUCGAGGAACUGGCGUGUUUUCGGAGCAGGUGCUCCCGUCGGUAGGGACUCUCGUCUGUGUCUCAGGUGUAUCCCUGUACCACGACGUUGGGGAAAUCUGUGUGUCGGUUGGCGAAAAAUGCUCAUCCGACUGGUUAGAGGGGACUCCGUCAAUCGGUGAUUCGCCUGCGAUCUUCACCUCUCGCGCGGAGAUAUUGCGAGGUGGCUGGGGAUGGGCGGGGAAUUGGCGUCAGGAACGCGGAUCUUGCCGGCAAUCCGUGUACUUUCAGAUGCGGUUGAGAAGUCAAAUUGAUCUCUUCUCGGCGCCGUAGGACUCUUCAGAGAUCACACACGCAGUGCGCGCACGGCCGCGUUUGUGCUCGAGCGUUUACGGAGAUUUGUCAUCGGGAUGACCAGAACGGUCUUCAACUUGGCGUCCGCCGACGCGAUAUCGUCACGUGCGCCAAUCGCUAAUCAGUGAUUAAUGGACCGAAUCCAUUGAAUCGAGGCCGACAGACGGAAAAUCGGCCGGCGAAGUGAGAUUUGCGAGCGAAGAAAGAGAUAGAUAGAUAGAGGAAGGGCGGGAGGAAGAGAAAGGUGGUGUAGGUGGGAGGAAGGAGAAAAGUGAUUUUAUUCCUGUGAGUGCGAAAAGCCGUCCGUGACGAAAACUCGAGGACCAUGACGGAGGGCGAGCCCAACGUGAGUGUAAGUGUUUACAUCAUGUUUAUUUCAAGUAGGGGGACGGUAAGUCGAUUAUUUCACCAAUACAUAUUGUUAUCAUUGAUACGCAUUGUAUCCGGGAUAAUACACUUAUCGUUAUUCACACCGUUUUAUGGCCGCAGGAUCGUUUUAUGACGUUAAUAGCGGAAUUUAUUUCGCGAAUUUAUUCAGCGUGACAAGAAUUCCUUUCUUUAGAAGCGGUGCUUUUUGAAGUGGGGCUUUUUAUCAUUCAAACAGAGGCGGCAUUUAUUACAUAAUAACAAGCGAUUCUCUUCACUUCUCCAUAUGAGUUAUCGAUCAGAGUAUGAUUAAUGCAUCUUCAGCAUUUUCGCUUGCGCGCGAUUGAUGUUUUGCAAUUACGCUCGUAAUAAUUACGUAACGUUAACGGCGCAUACAUGCCGCGUGUGUGUGUGUUGCGAUCGAUAAACGCCUCAUUUCCUGCCGACUGGCAAUAACGUCGGCUUAAUCGGCAUCGUUCUUUUGGGCGUGCGUCGUAUGCGCGUCGAUCGAUCGAUCGAUCGUGAUUCAGUAGGCGGCGAUGUUACUGUUUGCAGUGUAUGAUGUUUUUGUUGCUAAUUUAGCUGGUGGUUGGAUGAAAUCCGGCCGAUGCGUCAAAUUAUCGCUAAAUUACCGACCACUUUGUUUUGCCACAACGAUUGACGUUUCAACAAAGACAGAAUUGUUAAUGGAUCUGAAUUGCUUAAUAAUUUUGCUCAUACAUCACUUAUCUAUGUUAAUAGUGCAAGAGAUCGCGGUAAGGUUCUUUCAAACCUUGCACGCGUCUGUUUCUCUUCUCAAUUUGAGCCGUACGUUAUAUCGCUAUGAGAUUAUAUUGAAAAUUAGAAUAUUGAAAAGCACGGAAUGAGAAGUGGAGAAAGUGAAUUUGUUGGCGCGCAUUAUCUUGCUAAGAGAUAUUUCAUGUAUGUAAAUGCUACCAAUAUAUUUCGGUAAGCGCAAGACGCGUGUACGUUGCGAAGAAAAAGAGAGAGUUGGGAUAGGGUGUGCUCCGUCUAUCUGCACUGUGUCUACGUACACUGUAUCGCGAUUCAACUUUCCUGCGAACCCUCUUCUGGGUGCUUCUGCCGCACUUUGAGUCGCUGCCAAUUCAAUUCUCACUCGCGGCGGGUGCUCACGAGGAUAGGAUGGAGCCGCGAGAAGAGUUGCAGAGGGUGCUUCGAUAGGGGUGGGAAUGGGUGGAUUGGACUCGCGGUCGCUUUCUACCAGCGGCGGGAUUCAGGAACGGCGAAACGACGGGACAUCCCCGCCGUGCUUUCUUCAUUUUCUCUCCCCGGAUAAUUACUUUAAGAACAGAGUGAUAUAACUCGCUCUAAUAUAAAUUCCGUCCCUGUCCCCUCGAGUUUGCAGCCCUGCUGUUAGAUCUUAUCAGUUUUGUUCUGUCAGGUGUCGCACGCUGAAAGACGGAGGAAAAACUUAAGAGUGGAAAAUAACUUGCGAGAAAAUUUAAUUCCUCCGUGAUUGAUUAAAAAUUGCUUGCGUAAGUACAGAAAUUUCUUCGCGAAAAGUAUAUCUUGUCUUUAUCUUGUACUUUUCUUUUCUAUCGUUCGCGAAUUUCGUCGUCUUUAAUUCUUGUGCAUAAUAAUAGCGAUUGCUCAAUUGAAUCUCAAAUUCCCGAGGAUUUUCUGAAAAUAUAUUAUAAGUAAAAUCUAUUUUUUCGCACGCGCGCGCGCGCGUGUGUGUGUGAAUAUUGAACAAAAUGCUGAGCAAAAAUGACGGCGCUACAUCGCGUCGUCUUGGCAAAACUACCUGGAACUAUCCGCCACUGUUACUCUGUUAUACCAUGAGAUAAGUUGGAAGAAAUACUUCCGUAGUGGCUGGCGAACGCGUCAAAGAUGCGAGAAGAUAUUACACAGCCUUGGAAUAUGAGUGCGGAUCGAUGAAUUUUCAAGAUUAUUCCCCGUCUUUCUCUUCCCUUUUUCUCUCUUGCGCCCUACUUCCGGAUGCGGUUUCUUUUUCCCGCAAUGAAAUUCCGCGGCGCUUGCGAAAUAUUCGCGUGGAUUGAAUCAAUGCGGCUCCCCGAGGCAUCGAGUAUUGUCGCAAUUUUCAUAGGUAUUAUAUUAUACGCUACUCUCUUGAAUCACUGCCAAGUGAUAUACAUGGCAGCGCAUCAUGAAGAAGUGAACACGUAAAUAGGUCACGCGAAUGCCGUUGCGCCGAGUUCUAUCCGCUAUUAGCUAGCUCGCUAGCUUUAGCGACGUUUCCCCUUUAUCUCGUCCCGAGAUGAAUCGAGAGAAUGACGUGACCGGACACGAUGCAUUUUAUCCCUUAGUCAAAGGAACCUCGCAGGCGGACAGUCGAAGUCAUCCAAAUUGUCCCCCGGGCUCGGAUAAAACUCAGUCGUGGACGUUCUUCUUGUCAAUGGAGCGAAGAGACUCGGUUAAAACAAGAAAACGAGCUCUUGAUGAAACGAUCGAGGAGUCUCGGCGAGAGUAAUUGAAACUUGCUCGGCAUUCUGCCUUAGAGCGCAGCUUCUUUCGAAAUGCCGGACUGAAAAUCAGAUUUUGCGGAAAGAAUUGUUCUAUUUACGAGGAGACUUGAAAGAAAUUGAUUCCCGGUUAACGUUACUUAGCCGCCCUGUGAGAUACAUUUGACACCACUGAUACUUUUUAUGUGCUUCAUACAAGGAUAUUUCUCGCGAGAUUCAUUGUAGUUUAUACGAGUUUCACGCGGAAUAUCUUGACAGUUUUAAUCAUUUAUACUGAAAUGUACGUAAUAAAAUAUAUCGAAAUAAUAUGAAAAAUUAACGUGCGCGCGCAGAGAGAGAGAAAGAGAGAGAGACGCAUGAUUAACUUGGAUCAAGACGAACUGACGCGCAACAUUCUUCCUACAUCCCUCGAGAACGGCGAUGGGAUUCCGAAGAAGGGUCAAGCGUUCAUCGUGAUCUAAAUUAUAGCGUUGUCCGCUAUCUAAAUUCCGUUGUCGACGCAACGAAUGAUCGCGUUAUCAUUAUGAGCACCUUAUUACGAGGGUCAACUACGAUGGUCACGAUGCCAUUUGCUGUCCUCGGAGAAAAGCAUAUGGCUCGGGGGGGAUUAAGGCGAGAAAGAGGAAGGAGGACGGACGAUCGGUGCUUGCACCGAAGAAAAUAAUAGUCUUCUCAUUCUCGAUUAAACGUUCAAUGGCGCUCGAUAGAAACGGACUGGCACCGUGUAAACGCUGCUUUUAUUGCCGCGCGGAAUCGCCGCGCGCACUCCUACGAAAAUCACAUCUUUAUGGAUUACGGAAUAUCUCACAUUCAGCACAUUACGGGCAUCAAUGGGAUCGCAAGCAGGAGGACACGUUCCUUGGCGAUUCCGCGACGUGCCAUGCUUGCGGACGAAGCGGGGGACAAGUGGGAGAACUGUAUAAAAAGUCCUUCCAAUUCGAUCAGGACAGUCAACCCAAGCCGGCGACGUACGUUCCAGAAUUCGAAGUAUCUCGAGUUUCCGCUCAAUUAUUCAUGAUAUUCACGUAAAUAAUGAUAUUAAUUAGCGAUUAUUCGCAUACUACUAUCACAAGCAGGACAUGAUAAUCGAUCACGUCGACAUGUAUUCGGUUUAAAUUAAAAAGUUUGAUUUAUUUUUUUACGGAAAAAACACCCUUUUGGUACAGUGCAAUAUACAUAAUUAAAAAAGAAAGAAAGAAAAAAAUUAUCUACAUUCGUCGAGGUAAAUGCAGCAAUACGUAUAUAAAACUGCUUAAAUGAAGUUAAUAUUAACUAAAUCAUGAAUCAAGUAAAGUUUAAUCAUGAAUUAAAUAGAGUUUUCAUAUUAGUUUCAUAUUAGUUUUUAAAUUAUAACGGCGAUUAUUCUCUCGAUGAAUAAUUUAUUCCUAUUAAAUAUUCCUAUACAAUAAAAUCAAAUUUGACCUAAAAGUUCGAACCAAACUUUUCAACUGUAUCAAUAUUUCUUCGAGGAGCGUGGAGACGAAUCAAAGACGCGAAUUCGGUUACGGUUUACGAGAAUGGCGUAACGAUUACGUAUGUUUCUACGAAUAACUCUAAUAGAAACUGAAUCUCGUCGGUGUUUAGUCACGAGAUAAUACAUUUGUGCCUAACAUCACUACUAAUCAAUAAUGUCACGUCCACUUCUCCUAAUGCCUAGACAAAUAAGUUAGCUAGUGAUUAAACAAACGAAAUUGCAAUCAUGAGAUGAAAAACCAUAAGUAGUUGUUAGCCAGUAAUAUUACGUCCAAUUCUGCUUGUUUGAGAUUUUUAAUGAAACUAACGUAACCUCAAUUUUGCUCUCAUUUUUUUAAUGCUAGUGAUAAUGUAGCUAGAUUAUAUUUUUUAGAAUAAACUGUGCCGUCUACUUUAUCAUAUUUGAUAUAUAAUGGCUAAGUAACGGCUAGACCGCAUUUCCCGUAUUUCAGUGGAAUCAGUAACGAGUCAGUAAUGAGUUGGAAAAUGUAAUCUAGUCUGUACUAGCUAGCUACUAGCUUUUGAUUCAGGUUGGCUAGUUAUAUUUCUAGUUGAGAAGUAUCAAAGCGACGGACGUUUAGCAUUAUUGCAACUGUCGUCGCUGCGCUUUCGCACUUUUUGCGCGAAACGUAAGAGUAAACAGCGCAGAAGAAUCUCUGAACAUCGAUUCGAGACGGGCAAGUCAGGCAACAAUGGGCGUUACAUCGCAAAGAAACUUGCUGUCCGAAGUAAUGACGCUACAAUUUUCACAGCGGCGCCAAUUUUUCCACAGCGUGCCCAGAGAUAGUGAAAGAAAAUACGGGCUUGCCAAGCAAGCCAACGAGUAUCUGCGGCGAAGACUCGUUGCAACUAUAGAGAGAGAUCCGCGACCAUAGCAGUGUUAUUGACGAGUUUGCUCGUAAUACGAGAAUGACGGAUGGACGGGCGAGGGUGUGCGGUUCUCUCCACCGCGUUCUCGAUUUCCCAUAGAAAUGCUAACCGGUUCGUUACUGAGCCGUAUCUGUGUAAGGACGGGGGUGGAUGAACCAUGAAAAACCGGACUGUGGGCGCGUAACACAGCGACGAUUUCUCUCUCCUUCUCCCUAUUCCUCCCUUCCUCCCUCCCCGCUUCCCAUGUCGCGAGAAGGCCGAAAAAAAGAGGGUUGGCGGAUCUGGUCACAGGGUGAGCUAAGCGAUAGGAUUUGUGUAAGCUCGUGAACGGGAGAACGACGCGGAGAUCCGGUUGUCGUCGGUUUGUAAAGGACGUGUCGCGGCUUUUUGCGGAUCUUUGUAUCGGCUGAGGAUUUGGAAGGAGUAGAGCACUGAUAAGUCGCUUUUCAAACCGCCUCUUGCAGUCUCCAGCAGCAGUAGCGAGUAUUGUAAAUAAGUUACAGGACGUAACGGGAGGAAAGAAUCGAACUUGAGGUUUGUGUUGCCCGCAAGACUCGAGAGAUGGAGAAGAAAGAAAAGAAUUCUCCCGUAAAUACACGAUCUCUCCUUUUUACGUUAUAAGCUUUCGACCGAGUCAAAAGCUGGUUGAACUUGGCGCAUCCCGCCUUCACGGCCGAGUUAAGUAUCGUGGUGGUGGAUACGAACGGCUUGAAGCGCGUCUGUCGCGUUCAACUUCGUUGACAUUUCGUCGCGGACCGCUCGAGACGGACGGACGGGUUAACUCGUCGCCGAUCAAUGCAUCGAGAGAAAGAGAGUCGGAGUUGGAAAGAGGAAGAGAGCACGACCGAACCACCUCCUCGCCGAGGAAGACAACGACGUCUCGGAUGAGUAAAACGCACACUUGCGGCUCACCGAUUUUCCUCUCCUCGCAUUCAAGUCGCGGUACCACCUAUCUAUCCGCCCCAUUGUUUGACGAGGAUCCGGGCAACAAUGGCAACGAGCGCCGUCCGGGUAUUUAUCACCGUCGAUUUUCCGGCCGGUGGAAAAUCGCUUUGCACGUGCUCGAGGAAUAGGUGUGGCGGAAGAGGCGUAGAGAGCGGCUGAAGGAGAGGAAGCACAAGAAAGAGGGAGAGUGGAGUGCGAGGAAUUGAUA